GUGUCUCUGGCAGUGAUGGUUCAUGCACCCGCCUGAAGAGCGGAGGAUUAGGGUUCGAUUCCCUAGGGACACACCA
rnacentral:tRNA from 1 species